ACCGAAUAGAUACCCCGGUAGUCCACGCCGUAAACGAUGAAUACUAGGUGUAGGGGUUGUCAUGACCUCUGUGCCGCCGCUAAACGCAUUAAGUAUUCCGCCUGGGGAGUACGGUCGCAAGAUUAAAACUCAAAGGAAUUGACGGGGGCCCGCACAAGCAGCGGAGCAUGUGGUUUAGUUCGAAGCAACGCGAAGAACCUUACCUAGACUUGACAUCUCCUGCAUUACCCUUAAUCGGGGAAGUUCCUUCGGGAACAGGAAGACAGGUGGUGCAUGGUUGUCGUCAGCUCGUGUCGUGAGAUGUUGGGUUAAGUCCCGCAACGAGCGCAACCCUUAUUGUUAGUUGCUACCAUUUAGUUGAGCACUCUAGCGAGACUGCCCGGGUUAACCGGGAGGAAGGUGGGGAUGACGUCAAAUCAUCAUGCCCCUUAUGUCUAGGGCUACACACGUGCUACAAUGGCAAGUACAAAGAGAAGCAAGACCGCGAGGUGGAGCAAAACUCAAAAACUUGUCUCAGUUCGGAUUGUAGGCUGAAACUCGCCUAC
rnacentral:rRNA from 1 species